GGUUUUAUGGUGUAAUGGUUAGCACUCUGGACUUUGAAUCCAGCGAUCCGAGUUCAAAUCUUGGUAGGAACU
rnacentral:tRNA from 1 species